ACCCGACUAGCUCAGUCGGUAGAGCAUAGGACUCUUAAUCCCAGGGUUGCAGGCUCUAGCCCCACGUUGGGCA
rnacentral:tRNA from 1 species